rnacentral:rRNA from 1 species
AACGAACGCUGGCGGCAUGCCUAACACAUGCAAGUCGAACGAGACCUUCGGGUCUAGUGGCGCACGGGUGCGUAACGCGUGGGAACCUGCCCUUAGGUUCGGAAUAACUCCCCGAAAGGGGUGCUAAUACCGGAUAAUGUCUUCGGACCUAGGACUUAUCGCUUUUGGAUGGGCCCGCGUUGGAUUAGCUAGUUGGUAGGGUAAAAGCCUACCAAGGCGUCGAUCCAUAGCUGGUCUGAGAGGAUGAUCAGCGACACUGGGACUGAGACACGGCCCAGACUGCUACGGGAGGCAGCAGUGGGGAAUAAUGGACAAUGGGCGAAAGCCUGAUCCAGCAAUGCCGCGUGAGUGAUGAAGGCCUUAGGGUUGUAAAGCUCUUUUACCCGGGAUGAUAAUGACAGUACCGGGAGAAGAAGCUCCGGCUAACUCCGUG